rnacentral:rRNA from 1 species
UACGUAGGUGGCGAGCGUUGUCCGGAAUUAUUGGGCGUAAAGGGAGCGCAGGUGGGAAAGUAAGUCAGUCUUAAAAGUGCGGGGCUCAACCCCGUGAGGGGAUUGAAACUACUUUUCUUGAGUGCAGGAGAGGAAAGCGGAAUUCCUAGUGUAGCGGUGAAAUGCGUAGAUAUUAGGAGGAACACCAGUGGUGAAGGCGGCUUUCUGGACUGUAACUGACACUGAGGCUCGAAAGCCAGGGGAGCGAACGGG